UACGUAGGGGGCAAGCGUUGUCCGGAAUCAUUGGGCGUAAAGCGCGUGUAGGCGGCCAGAAAAGUCCGCUGUGAAAACUCGAGGCUCAACUUCGAGCUGUCGGUGGAAACUUUCUGGCUAGAGUCCGGAAGAGGAGAAUGGAAUUCCUGGUGUAGCGGUGAAAUGCGCAGAUAUCAGGAAGAACACCCGUGGCGAAGGCGGUUCUCUGGGCCAUAACUGACGCUGAGAAGCGAAAGCAUGGGGAGCGAACAGG
rnacentral:rRNA from 1 species